rnacentral:rRNA from 1 species
AACAUUUAGAGAAUGCCUAUAUAUUAAAACUUAAAAACGGACGUUUUAUUAACGAAAUUUUGUGACGAGUACGAUAAUGUGCUGAGAGUUACAAUUAUCCGAAUAGGAAACUAUAUAAUUAUUUUAAAGUUUUAGAAUUUAUGUAUCUAAAACUAAACUUUAGUGAAUUGAAUCAUCUAAGUAACUAAAUUAAAAAAUCAACCGAGAAAUUGUGAGUAGUGGCGAACGAAAACAGUAAAGACUAAAUUAAAAAUUUAUUAUUUAAUGAUAAUUAAAGCCAUAGAAGGAAAAUUUUAAAAAAUAGCCCUGUAUAGUAGUAAAUUUAAAAUUUAUAAACGAGUAAAAUGAAACAAGUCGUGUUUUGUUUGAAUAUCGGGGGACCACCCUCGAAGUCUUAAAAUGUUUUAAUAUUUGAUAGCGUAAUAAAAAGUACCGUGAGGGAAAGGUGAAAA